AAGUACAGAACAUGAAGGAGUGGUGACAACUGAUGUACCCAUACAAAAGAGGCCAAGGCACAAGCACAUACCUUGUAUACAGAUGAAGAUCUCCUGUGAUUAUUUCUUUCUCCUCCUCAUCUGAUAACUGAAAAUAUAAGGAUGCCCUGCCACUCAGUCCAAGACCUGACUUGUAAUUUAAGAAAUAAAUGAAGAUCAUCUAAACCAGAA